rnacentral:lncRNA from 1 species
GUUACCAGCAUGGCUAUCUUCCAGAUGCCAGGAGGUGUCUGAAACCAGAGCACAGGACAGAACUGUAGCUGGGAAAUGCUUUGGGAUACACAUACUCUUUCAGUGUUCUGUCUUGUUGGCAUUGCCCUUACCAGACAUCCCAUGCUCUGCCCUUCUCAAGGUUGCAGUUGCUCUGCUGUUAGGGCAUUGCUGGACAGUCAUACAUAGAGGACUCACUGCUGAAUCCCUGCACCUUGUCUGGCCAGAUGCUUCCACUUUCUGAAACAUACUCAGCCUCCCCUGGGUGGCUGUGUGUAGUGAUGAGACACCUCCCAGCGGCUCGCACACCAUCGCAGCCUCUUCCAGGUUCCAGCAGUCAUGGCAUACUGUACACCAAGAGGAAGAACUGAUGGAGAGACUCCUGAAUGAGGAAGAGAAGGCUGGAAGUCUGGUUUGUGAGCUCAAGACCAUAGCGUAUCACUGAAGGGACCAAUGUGGCUGUACUGAAGCCAUCUGCACCAUGGUCCAGGCUAGGGCUUCAGAGGACACCGCAGUGGUCACCAGCUGUUUUGAUGCUGCACUGUGGCCUCAUUUUUUAUAAACUAUCACAAAAUAACCAUUUGUGCCCUUCUCACUCGUGUCUGUGAUUGAGAACUCUGCGAUCAUCUAAUGACUUCAGUACAGGCUGAUUAUAUAGAACGGGCCAAGCAGCUCCUUGACAUAUGUGUACUUCCCGCAUCUUAAGUGGGACAGAUACCAGGUCCAGCAUCAGAGCUGAUGUUCUCCCAACCUCACAGUGAAGAGGGUUGAAUAGCCUAGACAUGUUUUAUGAUGAUUACAACAUUGUUUCUCCCACAAUUUUGGCCUUCUUCCCAGUGGCUUUGGAAAAUGGUAACAGGAGGCACAUUUAGGUAUAACUUUCUGGGAAAAGUACUAAGUUAAGAAUACCCGAAAUAGAAAAACUCAGAUACAUUCUUGGAAUAGGGAUAUACAGAAACUGGUUGGAAGCAGAAUGUUUUCAAGCUCCUGAUUUUUAAAAUUUUGGUGGUGGUGGGGAUUAUUAGAUUUCAUUUUACUUCUAAGUGUAAUUAAGCCUUUUAAUGGCUGAGUGACUGGGGCACAGUAUAUCAAAUGUUUUCAUCAGGAUAAUAAAUAUAAACCUCUAGCUCCCA